AGUAAGUCGGGGCCAGGGGCCGCGGUAAGACGGAGGAUCCAAGGGUUAUCCGGAAUCAUUGGGUUUAAAGGUUCCGUAGGCGGCCGUAUAAGUCAGCGGUGAAAGUUUUUGGCUUAACCAAAAAAUUGCCAUUGAUACUGUAGGGCUUGAAUAUUUGUGAAGUAACUAGAAUAUGUAGUGUAGCGGUGAAAUGCUUAGAUAUUACAUGGAAUACCAAUUGCGAAGGCAGGUUACUAACAAAUGAUUGACGCUGAUGGACGAAAGCGUGGGUAGCGAACAGGAUUAGAUACCCGUGUAGUC
rnacentral:rRNA from 1 species